UACGAAGGGGGCUAGCGUUGUUCGGAAUCACUGGGCGUAAAGCGCACGUAGGCGGAUUUUUAAGUCAGGGGUGAAAUCCCGAGGCUCAACCUCGGAACUGCCUUUGAUACUGGAGAUCUUGAGUCCGGAAGAGGUAAGUGGAACUGCGAGUGUAGAGGUGAAAUUCGUAGAUAUUCGCAAGAACACCAGUGGCGAAGGCGGCUUACUGGUCCGGAACUGACGCUGAGGUGCGAAAGCUAGGGGAGCAAACAGG
rnacentral:rRNA from 1 species